rnacentral:lncRNA from 1 species
AGACAAAGAAAUACUGCACCUUUAAAUGAAAGAAUGCCAACAAUGUGCGGCUGUGCCCAGGCAUUUGGAGCUGGAAUGUGUUGGAAAGCUGGCAGUGGUUUAUUUUCCCCUGCAGCUUUCCCAGGUGUUACAGCAAAAGGAAAACAACAAAACCACGGAACAGAGAUGGACAGGACAUGAAUAAAAGAAGAGGGCGUGUAGUUGUAGGUGACAAACACCCGGGAGUCUGAUCAGAAAGCCCCUUUCUAGACAUGAGGUCACCCAUAUGGGUACGUGCUGUCAAGACAUGUAAACCAGAGGAGGGAAAAAGUGAGAUUCACGGCCCUGCCUCCUCCCUCGCUCUGGAACCACAGCCUUUAUUAAGGGCAAGCAGUCAAUAAUAACCUCACCUCUAGGACCUGCCAGGGAGUGUCCAUUUUGAAAUACAGGCAUGCUUGACCCACUGAAACAUCAAACCAGAAGCCCAGGAGGAAGAGGAGGAGGAGGAGGGAUCAGCUGUGAUGUGGGAGCAGGCACCCCCAACACAAUCCAUCAUUGUUAUCUGCAAAACAGGCAGCACAUGGCCAGCGCAAGUGAGUCAGAGUGGUCUGGUAACGAGUGCCUCUUCACAGGGAGAGUCCCUCCAUGUGUCCUUGUGAUUAGGGCCAAUCCCCUUCAGUGA